rnacentral:rRNA from 1 species
GCGUCUUAAGCAUGCAAGUCAAACGGGAUGUAGCAAUACAUCUAGUGGCGAACGGGUGAGUAACGCGUGGAUGAUCUGCCUACGAGAUGGGGAUAACUAUUAGAAAUAGUAGCUAAUACCGAAUAAAGUCAAUUAAUUUGUUAAUUGAUGAAAGGAAGCCUUUAAAGCUUCGCUUGUAGAUGAGUCUGCGUCUUAUUAGUUAGUUGGUAGGGUAAAUGCCUACCAAGGCGAUGAUAAGUAACCGGCCUGAGAGGGUGAACGGUCACACUGGAACUGAGAUACGGUCCAGACUCCUACGGGAGGCAGCAGCUAAGAAUCUUCCGCAAUGGGCGAAAGCCUGACGGAGCGACACUGCGUGAAUGAAGAAGGUCGAAAGAUUGUAAAAUUCUUUUAUAAAUGAGGAAUAAGCUUUGUAGGAAAUGACGAAGUGAUGACGUUAAUUUAUGAAUAAGCCCCGGCUAAUUACGUGCCAGCAGCCGCGGUAAUACGUAAGGGGCGAGCGUUGUUCGGGAUUAUUGGGCGUAAAGGGUGAGUAGGCGGAUAUAUAAGUCUAUGCAUAAAAUACCACAGCUCAACUGUGGAACUAUGUUGGAAACUAUAUGUCUAGAGUCUGAUAGAGGAAGUUAGAAUUUCUGGUGUAAGGGUGGAAUCUGUUGAUAUCAGAAAGAAUACCGGAGGCGAAGGCGAACUUCUGGGUCAAGACUGACGCUGAGUCACGAAAGCGUAGGGAGCAAACAGGAUUAGAUACCCUGGUAGUCUACGCUGUAAACGAUGCACACUUGGUGUUAACUAAAAGUUAGUACCGAAGCUAACGUG